UACGUAUGGGGCAAGCGUUAUCCGGAUUUACUGGGUGUAAAGGGAGCGUAGGCGGCCUGGCAAGCCUGAUGUGAAAUACCGGGGCCCAACCCCGGGGCUGCAUUGGGAACUGCCAGGCUGGAGUGCCGGAGAGGCAGGCGGAAUUCCUAGUGUAGCGGUGAAAUGCGUAGAUAUUAGGAAGAACACCAGUGGCGAAGGCGGCCUGCUGGACGGUGACUGACGCUGAGGCUCGAAAGCGUGGGGAGCAAACAGG
rnacentral:rRNA from 1 species